rnacentral:rRNA from 1 species
UACGUAGGGGGCAAGCGUUGUCCGGAAUCAUUGGGCGUAAAGAGCGUGUAGGCGGCUCGAUAAGUCUGCUGUGAAAGUCCAGGGCUCAACCCUGGAAGGCCGGUGGAAACUGUCGGGCUAGAGUCCGGAAGAGGCGAGUGGAAUUCCCGGUGUAGCGGUGAAAUGCGCAGAUAUCGGGAGGAACACCAAUGGCGAAGGCAGCUCACAAAGCCAUUAUUGACACUGAGGCACGAAAGUGUGGGGAUCAAACAGG